UUUCCCUUUAAGUCCAACUCCCUGCAUAUCUACAGGAAAGGGUGAAACCCUCCAGCUGACAACAAUGAGGACCUGUACUGUGAAUGCGCUCUGGAUGUGUAUAGAAAGGGAUGAUUCAGCCUGUGGAUAUCUGAAUCACAGACUUUGGGGUCCCGAGGAGAGAGCCAGCCACACCGUGCCCAUUAACAGGAAACUCGGAGCCCAGAAUGGACAUCUUCUGCUUGCUUCUGAAGAUGCACAGCUCCAGGUGUUCUGUGACACACCGGUGCCUCCCUCAUUGACCAUUUCUUACAUAGUACAUCACCCCAACUGUACAGGGAGGAGACAACAGUCCUUUGCAUAUCUGUGAUACAGGAGAUGGAAGCACUCAGAUCCUUCUUACAGUUACCAUCACACAGAGUCCUGCUGAAGCCUCCAGAGCAGCCCAGGAAUCUCUCUCUCUCUCUCUUGCUAUAGUGUCAAGGCCUCUUCAUGUCAUGGCCAUGGCCUCUCUGUGUCAUCCCUUUUUGAGGGAUGGUUUGCUUUUCUUACAGCCCGGCUGUCUCCAGAAGUCAGACUCUUUACAUGACAGCCCAAGGCUCUGAGGAGUCCCAAGAGAAUCGGAGAGAAGGGACAUCAUCUUUAAUCCUGAGUUCAGAAGUCACAGUAUCAUUGGAUCUUGUUCAAGUUCUGUUAGAAGAGGAGCAUUGGGAGAAGAGAGAGCAUCAUAGCCAUCUUUGGGAAGAAUGUACUCUACAAUAGCAUCCCAUGGGAAACCUGGUUCCACAUCUGAACUGUGAUAACUCAGAGAGGAGACGAUGAAGACACUCCUUAAGAAGUUGCAGGGGCAGGGAAGACAAAAUCAAAAGCUAAGCGUGACAGAGACUGUAACAGAACACUUGUCAGUGCCCUGAUUCAGAAGCAAUAAGAUGCAGCAGGAAUGAUAUUGGAAGAAGCAGUCAGAGAAAAGUCCUGGAGAUCAGAAAGCUUCAGCAGGUAUCACACUGUCCCCCUCCCCACAGUCUCCUCAGAUCCCUAAGGGCUGAGACUGACAAGAAAUCCUAAGGUCUGACGUCCCACAGACUAGCCAUUGCAGAAGAGAGCAGGGUCGGGAAAAGUGGAGAGGCCACAGGAGAUAAAUGUCUUGUGGGUGUUCAUAGUGUGAGAGAGACUCAAAGUCUAAGCUUUGGAUGUGUGUAGCAGAGGCUACUACUGCAGGAGGGAGAGUCUGAGCUAUGCAUAUGCAGUGUUCCAGCAAUAUAGACAUGGUACGGGAAGCAGCUUAUAACGCCCACAGUUCACUGGUUGUCAGAGCCCCGGCCUGUAUUUGGGGGACUUGUGAAUAGAGUCUAUAAUCGAGUCCCAGGCUGUGGAAAAGGUGUUAAACACCUGAGCAAUAUGUAGACCAAGGCUACAUAGAAUCACCAGUGCUAACAGAACUUUCUUACCCUUGAUGUAUGGCCCAUGGUUGGAGCUGCUUGUAUUCUAAUGCUAAUUGGGUCUCCUCAAAACAGCUUGCAUGAGUGGGUCUGCAGGUAGCUUCUGAGAACCUGCCCCCAGUUAAUUCUGAUUGAUAAAUAAAGAUGCCAGUAACCAAUAGCUGUGGAAGAGA
ensembl:lncRNA